rnacentral:siRNA from 1 species
GACUUGUAGGGGAGUGGACCGGC